CACGUAGGGGCCAAGCGUUGUCCGGAUUUAUUGGGCGUAAAGAGCUCGUAGGCGGUUCAGUCAGUCGGGUGUGAAAACUCUGGGCUCAACUCAGAGACGCCACCCGAUACUGCUGUGACUUGAGUCCGGUAGGGGAGCAGGGAAUUCCAGGUGUAGCGGUGAAAUGCGCAGAUAUCUGGAGGAACACCGGUGGCGAAGGCGCUGCUCUGGGCCGGUAUUGACGCUGAGGCGCGAAAGCCAGGGGAGCAAACGGG
rnacentral:rRNA from 1 species